rnacentral:misc_RNA from 1 species
GAUGAAGAACGUAGUGAAAUGCGAUAAGUAAUGCGAAUUGCAGAAUUUCCGUGAGUCAUCGAAUCUUUGAACGCACAUUGCGCCCACUGGUAUUCCGGUGGGCAUGCCUGUUCGAGCGUCAUUAUCCUCCCUCAAACCUCGGGUUUGGUGUUGGACCCAAGUUGUGUGAACAACUGGUCUUAAAGACAAUGACGGCGUCCGUGGGACCCUCGGUGCAACGAGCUUUUAGGAGCACGCGUCGAGUUUCAAGGACCUUCCGGGCCGGUCUCCUUUACCAUUUUACAAGGUUGACCUCGGAUCAGGUAGGAAUACCCGCUGAACUUAAGCAUAUCAAUAAGCGGAGGA